rnacentral:tRNA from 1 species
GGAGAGGUGUCCGAGCGGUUUAAGGAGCCAGUCUUGAAAACUGGUGACUCAGUCAUGGGCCAUGGGUUCGAAUCCCAUCCUCUCCGCCA